UACGUAGGGUCCGAGCGUUGUCCGGAAUUAUUGGGCGUAAAGGGCUCGUAGGCGGUCUGUUGCGUCGGGCGUGAGAACUUACAGCUUAACUGUGAGCGUGCUUCCGAUACGGGCAGACUUGAGGUAUUCAGGGGAGAACGGAAUUCCUGGUGUAGCGGUGAAAUGCGCAGAUAUCAGGAGGAACACCGGUGGCGAAGGCGGUUCUCUGGGAAUAUCCUGACGCUGAGGAGCGAAAGUGUGGGGAGCGAACAGG
rnacentral:rRNA from 1 species